CCGACGCCGGCACUCAGCGGAAAAAGGACGAUUGUCACACGAAAGGAGAAUAAAGUGCACAUGGAUCUAACCGCGACCUACACGGCAUCAGCGAAUAUAUGUUGUAUAUUAUAGAAUACAAGGAUGUAGUAAGGAUUAUGUAAUUAUUAGAUUUUGCUCUGUGGGUGGUGAGCCAGGUGGUGGUGACAUGGUAGUAUUCACGGAUUGGUUUCGGUCGCCUGUGAUCUCAAGAAGCGCCUGUGGUUUGCCAAUGGCUGGUGAAGACACUGGUUUGGAGGCUGUAGCCUCACCGAUGGUGGGGUAUUUGGGAAAAGUUCAGGAAAGGGCUACUUCCCUGGACAACUGUCCAUGGUGCCAGGCAAAGGGUCAGACUUAUGCUUUGCACUCCUGUCA
ensembl:lncRNA